UACGUAGGUGGCAAGCGUUGUCCGGAUUUACUGGGCGUAAAGAGCGCGCAGGCGGUCGCUCAAGUCGCGUGUGAAAGCCCCCGGCUCAACUGGGGAGGGUCACGCGAUACUGAUCGACUGGAAGGCAGGAGAGGGUAGUGGAAUUCCCGGUGUAGUGGUGAAAUGCGUAGAUAUCGGGAGGAACACCAGUGGCGAAGGCGACUACCUGGCCUGUUCUUGACGCUGAAGCGCGAAAGCUAGGGGAGCAAACGGG
rnacentral:rRNA from 1 species